AGCUCAAAAGCUAGCCUAACCCAUAAACGCAACACGCCCCUAUUAAUAUCUUUGAACCCGCUUAUUCAUUUUAUUAAAUCAUUUUCCCCCUUUAGUAUAGGUGAUAGAAAAAGCACUCAGCGCUAUAGAAAAAGUACCGCAAGGGAAUGCUGAAAGAGAAAUGAAACAACUCAGUAAAGCUAAAAAAAGCAGAGACUACCUCUUGUACCUUUUGCAUCAUGCUUUAGCAAGAACAAGUAAGCAAAAAGAAUUUUAGUUUACACACCCGAAACUCAGCGAGCUACUUCAAGCCAGUCUAGUAAUAGGACAAACCCGUCUCUGUGGCAAAAGAGUGGGGCGAGCUUCAAGUAGAGGUGACAAACCUACCGAGCUUAGUUAUAGCUGGUUGCCUAAAAACUGAAUAGAAGUUCAGCCUCUUAAGUUCUUGGCUCCCCCACAGUUUUACUCACCAAGACCACAAGAAAUUAAGAGAGUUAGUCAAAUGGGGUACAGCCCAUUUGACAGAAGAUACAACUUUCCCAGGUGGGAAAGGGGCAUAACACCCUUAGGCAAGUAACUUAAGUGGGCCUAAAAGCAGCCACCUCUACUGAAAGCGUUAUAGCUCAAGUACAAGCCCUUCCUUAAAUUCCACAAACUUUCUCCCCUCCCCCCUUCAAUUAUUAGGCCUAUCUACUUAGUAGAUGUGAUUAUGCUAAUAUGAGUAAUAAGAAAGCACACUCUUUCUCCACGCACAAGUGUAAAUCGGAACGAACUCCCACCGACAAUCAUACGCUCUCAAAAACAGAGAGGAAUGGAGACAACAACAAACAACCAGAAAACCCCUCAUACUCCAGCGUUACCCCCACACUGGUGCGCUCACCUGGAAAGACCUAAAGAAAAAGAAGGAACUCGGCAAACAUAAGCCUCGCCUGUUUACCAAAAACAUCGCCUCUUGACUAACUAUAAUAAGAGGUCCCGCCUGCCCUGUGACCAAAAGUUCAACGGCCGCAGUAUUUUGACUGUGCAAAGGUAGCGCAAUCACUUGUCUUUUAAAUGAAGACCUGUAUGAAUGGCAUAACGAGGGCUUAACUGUCUCCUUUUUCCAGUCAAUGAAAUUGAUCUCCCCGUGCAGAAGCGGGGAUAGCACCAUAAGACGAGAAGACCCUGUGGAGCUUUAAAUGAAGUUAGAUCAUGUCAAAACCCCUUCUUAAAGGAACGAACUAAUUGAUUACUACACUACAUUUUUGGUUGGGGCGACCACGGGGGACAAAAGAUCCCCCAUGUGGACUGGAAAAAUAUUUUCAAAACUAAGAGAAACCCCUCUAAGUAGCAGAAUAUCUGACCAUCAUGACCCGGCAUAGCCGAUCAACGAACCAAGUUACCCCAGGGAUAACAGCGCAAUCCUUUUUUAGAGCCCAUAUCGACAAAAGGGUUUACGACCUCGAUGUUGGAUCAAGACAUCCUAAUGGUGCAGCCGCUAUUAAGGGUUCGUUUGUUCAACGAUUAAAGUCUUACGUGAUCUGAGUUCAGACCGGAGUAAUCCAGGUCAGUUUCUAUCUAUGUCACGGCUUCUUUUAGUACGAAAGGACCAAAGAAGCAGGGCCCAUGCCCACCGCACGCCCUCUUUUUACCCUCUGAGCCCCUAUCAAGAGGGCAACUGAACGUGGCUCUAAUCCUGAGAUUAAGGUUA
rnacentral:rRNA from 1 species